UGGGGAAUAUUGGACAAUGGGGGAAACCCCGAUCCAGCGACGCCGCGUGUGUGAAGAAGGCCUGCGGGUUGUAAAGCACUUUCGGUGGGAACGAAAUAUGCCGGGCUAAUACCCCGGUAGGCUGACGUUACUCAAUGAAGAAGCACCGGCUAACUCUGUGCCAGCAGCCGCGGUAAUACAGAGGGUGCGAGCGUUAAUCGGAAUUACUGGGCGUAAAGCGCACGUAGGUGGCGACGUAAGUCGGGUGUGAAAGCCCCGGGCUCAACCUGGGAACCGCAUUCGAGACUGCGUUGCUGGAGUACGGAAGAGGAGGGCGGAAUUCCCGGUGUAGCGGUGAAAUGCGUAGAUAUCGGGAGGAACAUCAGUGGCGAAGGCGGCCCUCUGGUCCAGUACUGACACUCAAGUGCGAAAGCGUGGGGAGCAAACAGGAUUAGAUACCCUCGUAGUCCCUGAGCGGGCUGGCAAGGCGCAU
rnacentral:rRNA from 1 species